rfam:Capsicum annuum cultivar Zunla-1 chromosome 7, whole genome shotgun sequence
AUCUCUUGGUGAGGGCAUUUCAUAAGCUCAUCCUUAAAUCUCCUCCAUGCUUUAUACAAAGAUUCCCUACGAAAUUGACAAAAAUUUAAGAUUUCGUCCUGCAAUU